UAGACCCGAAACCAGGUGAUCUACCCUUGGUCAGGUUGAAGUUCAGGUAACACUGAAUGGAGGACCGAACCGACUUACGUUGAAAAGUGAGCGGAUGAACUGAGGGUAGCGGAGAAAUUCCAAUCGAACCUGGAGAUAGCUGGUUCUCUCCGAAAUAGCUUUAGGGCUAGCCUCAAGUGAUGAUUAUUGGAGGUAGAGCACUGUUUGGACGAGGGGCCCCUCUCGGGUUACCGAAUUCAGACAAACUCCGAAUGCCAAUUAAUUUAACUUGGGAGUCAGAACAUGGGUGAUAAGGUCCGUGUUCGAAAGGGAAACAGCCCAGACCACCAGCUAAGGUCCCAAAAUAUAUGUUAAGUGGAAAAGGAUGUGGCGUUGCCCAGACAACUAGGAUGUUGGCUUAGAAGCAGCCAUCAUUUAAAGAGUGCGUAAUAGCUCACUAGUCGAGUGACACUGCGCCGAAAAUGUACCGGGGCUAAACAUAUUACCGAAGCUGUGGAUUGUCCUUUGGACAAUGGUAGGAGAGCGUUCUAAGGGCGUUGAAGCAUGAUCGUAAGGACAUGUGGAGCGCUUAGAAGUGAGAAUGCCGGUGUGAGUAGCGAAAGACGGGUGAGAAUCCCGUCCACCGAUUGACUAAGGUUUCCAGAGGAAGGCUCGUCCGCUCUGGGUUAGUCGGGUCCUAAGCUGAGGCCGACAGGCGUAGGCGAUGGAUAACAGGUUGAUAUUCCUGUACCACCUAUAAUCGUUUUAAUCGAUGGGGGGACGCAGUAGGAUAGGCGAAGCGUGCGAUUGGAUUGCACGUCUAAGCAGUAAGGCUGAGUAUUAGGCAAAUCCGGUACUCGUUAAGGCUGA
rnacentral:rRNA from 1 species